CUGCUCCCUGCUGUGGUGACACGAAUAGAAAGUCAGUGACAUCCCGUUGCUGGAUGACAGGCCGGGUUGGGCUGCCGGCGUGGUCCUGGCUGCCUGCAGACCCUCUGGGGCUUGCAGCCUCCUGUAGGGGGAGAGGGCUCGUAGCUGCGUGUAACUGUUCCACCACUGUUUUCUCCGGGGGGACUGAUGCUAUGGGCCUAUUAUUCUUCUCUUUCAAGGAGACAAAGGGUGUCUUCCUUUACCUCCAAGCUGGAUACUUCAGAGAAAAAGAUCACCCCUACCGUUCCCCCAAGACACAGGAAAACCAGAGGCAUAGAGACCUACAAUCAAAGCACUAUAUAGAAGUAAAUACUAGCUGUAUAUGGACAUCUUUGCCAAAGUGGUUGAGGAGCAGAGCUAGCUACUUCCUUUUCAGAAUCCAGCUAUAUCAAAUAACAUAGCUUUAGAAGGAUUCAGAAACAUUUGCCAUGGGCAAGGAAACAGAGUGACAUAAUGAAUGUGAUUGAACUCAAGUGUGGACAGCAAUGGGGGAACACAUGGCCAACAGAGCUGGAUAUGACUAAAAGUCAUUGCUGCAUGCGAGCACGAACACAGUAUCACAGGAACAGAUAUGCUAAUUCAUUUUAUGUACAUAUGUCAUCUGUUGAGGAUGGAUGUGUGUGUUACCACUGUGCUGCUGCUUCCAUGUUUUCUUGCACAUAUGCACUCCCUACUCAGUUAACAUGAUGUGAUAGGUGACCAGCAUAAGAGCAGUGCCAGAGUUAGUCUCAGAUAAAGCAGAUGAUAUAUUAGCUAGGCUGCACUUCCAGACUGCGUUGGGAACAUGUUUGAUAUUCGUAUCUGUUACUAGCAUCCAUGUCUACUCUGUGGACUUAGUGUGAUGCAAUCUCUAUUACCUCCCUCAGAUACCAAGAUUUUGGUAACUGUUUUGUCGAUAGAAAAAUCCUGUAGGAUUCUUGAUAAUAAGAUGCAUUGUGUGUGGUACAGCAGAGUGGAGGAGAGUGACUCAGUCUCUCCUGUCAUUUUGUUUGCCUGCUGGCUCCUCAGUGACCGUAGAUUGUGCUUUCUAGCUCUUAGUUCAUAGUUGCCCAUUCUGAAAUUGAUGAGUCCGCUCUAAGAUUUUAAUUUCACUAUACUGAUGUGCUAUUCUAACCUGUAAUUCUUGAUAAACUGGAUUGUUGUUUUGCUUAACUCUUGCCAGCAUCUAAUAAGCUGGUGGCAUAGGGUUUUUUUUAGUGUGGCUUGGAACUAUUUGGCCCCAUUAAAUUGGAGGCUAGAGCUACAGUGUGGAGGGGUGUCCACUGGCUACUAACCUGGUUCUUCAGUGCUUUGCAGCUGGUUGCUUGCUGCUCUUACUAAGGUGCCGGGAGGAAGCAGAGUCUUCUUCUGUAUGUUAAUGACAAGAUUGUUUUGCAGCCAAAAUUGUUAUCGUUUCUGUGUUUAUAUACU
rnacentral:lncRNA from 1 species